rnacentral:rRNA from 1 species
UACGAAGGGUGCAAGCGUUAAUCGGAAUUACUGGGCGUAAAGGGUGCGUAGGCGGUUGUUUAAGUCUGGCGUGAAAUCCCCGGGCUCAACCUGGGAAUGGCGAUGGAUACUGGGCAGCUAGAGUGUGUCAGAGGAUGGUGGAAUUCCCGGUGUAGCGGUGAAAUGCGUAGAGAUCGGGAGGAACAUCAGUGGCGAAGGCGGCCAUCUGGGACAACACUGACGCUGAAGCACGAAAGCGUGGGGAGCAAACAGG